UACAGAGGGUGCGAGCGUUGUCCGGAAUCACUGGGCGUAAAGAGCUCGUAGGUGGUUUGUCGCGUUGUUCGUGAAAACUCACAGCUUAACUGUGGGCGUGCGGGCGAUACGGGCAGACUUGAGUACUGCAGGGGAGACUGGAAUUCCUGGUGUAGCGGUGAAAUGCGUAGAUAUCAGGAGGAAUACCGAUGGCGAAGGCAGGUCUCUGGGCUGACACUGACGCUCAUGCACGAAAGCGUGGGGAGCAAACAGG
rnacentral:rRNA from 1 species